CGGGGCGUAGCGCAGCUUGGUAGCGCAUCUGCUUUGGGAGCAGAGGGUCGCAUGUUCAAAUCAUGUCGCCCCGACCA
rnacentral:tRNA from 1 species